GAGGAAACCGGUGUGAAUCCGGUGCGGUCCCGCCACUGUGAUCGGUGAGCGAGUUCCGACAGGCCACUGUCCGUGAGGGGCGGGAAGGCCGGGACGCGUGACGACCCGAGAGCCAGGAGACUC
rnacentral:ncRNA from 1 species